UACUGUUAUGUUCCGGGAUUCUGGCUGCUUGGUGGGAAUUCCUGUGCGCCCUUACCACCAUUUACCACCAGAGGGCGACAGGUUCCGGUGGGAGUGCGGUGCAUCAUCAUCCACAGCUGUUCGCGAUCAUCUUCAUCAGCGGCUCAGAUUUAAGGAGUUGGCUGCCAGCCCAGCGUCGCCUGAGUGUUAGCCAGUCAUGGCGAUCCCUUGAGGAGAUCCUAGUUGAUUUCCUGGUUUUUGAACCACCCUCGUGACGCCGUGGAAAGAACCCACAGGUUGCCCGAGUUUCCAGACUCACCUCUCCGUUGUUUGCAAUCAUCUCCUGGACUCCACGGCUGGCGGCCGCACCACUCCUCCGUUUCUCCACUGCACCCGAGCCUGCCUGUCCGCUCCCCGCCGCACUCCUCUGUUGUUUCUGGACCCACCAAGGACUGAGACACCGGACAAACAUUGUUUCCCCUCCAAGACUCCGUUCAUCUACUUCAAAUGAAUCAUUGUUGCUGCCACUGUCGUUUCCCCCUGGACCAGACCAUCCUGAUUCUCGCCGAUAAUUGUGUGAUCAUUAUUAAAUCAUUUAACACUGA